AUUGAACGCUGGCGGCAUGCCUUACACAUGCAAGUCGAACGGCAGCACGGGAGCAAUCCUGGUGGCGAGUGGCGAACGGGUGAGUAAAGUAUCGGAACGUGCCCAGUCGUGGGGGAUAACGUAGCGAAAGUUACGCUAAUACCGCAUACGAUCUAUGGAUGAAAGCGGGGGAUCGCAAGACCUCGCGCGAUUGGAGCGGCCGAAAUCCGAUUAGGUCGUUGGAGGGGUAAAGGCUCACCAAGCCGACGAUCUGUAGCUGGUCUGAGAGGACGACCAGCCACACUGGGACUGAGACACGGCCCAGACUCCUACGGGAGGCAGCAGUGGGGAAUUUUGGACAAUGGGCGCAAGCCUGAUCCAGCCAUGCCGCGUGCAGGAUGAAGGCCUUCGGGUUGUAAACUGCUUUUGUACGGAACGAAAAGGUUUGACUUAAUACGUUGGACUCAUGACGGUACCGUAAGAAUAAGCACCGGCUAACUACGUGCCAGCAGCCGCCGUAAGAC
rnacentral:rRNA from 1 species